rnacentral:rRNA from 1 species
UACGAAGGGGGCUAGCGUUGCUCGGAAUCACUGGGCGUAAAGGGCGCGUAGGCGGGCUCUUAAGUCGGGGGUGAAAUCCCGAGGCUCAACCUCGGAACUGCCUUCGAUACUGGAAGUCUUGAGUCCGGGAGAGGUGAGUGGAACUCCGAGUGUAGAGGUGAAAUUCGUAGAUAUUCGCAAGAACACCAGUGGCGAAGGCGGCUCACUGGCCCAUAACUGACGCUGAGGCACGAAAGCGUGGGGAGCAAACAGG